GCGRCCCCAGGAUGGGCGACGCCACCCGCUGAGUUUAAG
rnacentral:rRNA from 1 species